AGGAUAGUAGUUAAGUAUAACAUUUGAAUUGCAUCCAAAAAGUAUUGAUUACAAUCUAUCUUA
rnacentral:tRNA from 1 species